CAGUAGCCGCGGGAAUACGAAGGGGGCUAGCGUUGCUCGGAAUUACUGGGCGUAAAGGGCGCGUAGGCGGACAGUUAAGUCGGGGGUGAAAGCCCGGGGCUCAACCUCGGAAUUGCCUUCGAAACUGGCUGUCUUGAGUACGGGAGAGGUGAGUGGAACUCCGAGUGUAGAGGUGAAAUUCGUAGAUAUUCGGAAGAACACCAGUGGCGAAGGCGACUCACUGGCCCGUUACUGACGCUGAGGCGCGAAGGCGUGGGGAGCAAACAGGAUUAGAGACCCCAGUAGUCCCUGUCUCUUAUAC
rnacentral:rRNA from 1 species